rnacentral:snRNA from 1 species
GUGCUUGCUUCUGCAGCACAUAUACUAAAAUUGGAACGAUACAGAGAAGAUUAGCAUAACAGUAGCAAAAUCAGUUAUGAAGAAGCAAGGAAAAUAGUUUU